ACAAUUUGAUUUGAAGUUAAAUUAAAAAUAAUUGGAAAAUAUGAUCCAAUAACUAUAGUAUUAAUUCUUUCUGCCUUUUUAAAAAUACUUUCUGUUAAAAUGGAAACUAAUCAUUCGUCAAUUAUUAGUUUAUCUUCUAAAUCAUUAGCAAACAUUUUUGAACUUAUAAAAAUGAUGACUGGAUUAGAGGUAAAAUUAGAUUUUCAAGAUGUUUACAAGAUGUAUAUUAAUAUACUUAAUACUCUGCAUGAUAAUCAUUAUGAAUAUCCUAAAAAAAAAGAUAUUGAUGUAUUGAUAAAUGGUAUUAUAGAAAAAUAUAUCACCCAUGGAUUUCCUUUAGAAGCUAAAGAAUUUCAAAUGCGUAUUUUUUGGUUUAUUGACCAUUCAGAUAUUAAUAACUACUCAAACGAAUCAACUUGUUCUGUCAAAUGGGCCAUAAUUAGUUUAAUUAUUCAAAUGGCGAAAAAUCCUUGUGGAUUUAGAAAUGCAUUACGUAAUACUAAUUUAGAUAGUGUACGGAUUCAACUUGAAGGUGAAUCAGCAAUUCUAGGAGAAACAUUUAAAUCUAAUAUUAUUAAAGAAUUAAUUAGUCUUAAUAAUAAUAAAGAUUAUGUUGAAUCAGAAGAAUCUGAUUAUGAAGACGAAAAUGAUUUUUUGUCUCCAAGUGUAGAUUUAUCUCGUAGUAUAUCAUUUAUAGAUAAUUUGAGUAUUAAUAAAAAUAAAUUAUUAGAAGAUAAUAGAAAUGAAUAUUUAAAGUUAUUGUAUAUAAAUGAAAAUAAGGCAGUUAAAAUAUUAAGAAACAUUGCAUCUGAAUCUGUGUGGUCAAAAAGUAAUUCAGGAAUCUUAGUACAAGGUGGUAAAUAUACUUCACACUUUGCUAUUAAACGUUUUUCUCCUAAUAUGACAUUUAAAAUAAUUUGUGAUAGCAAAGUCAUACUUGAUUGCUUGAACCACCAUUUAGUUCCAUCUAAUAUUUUUCAAUAUAAUUUGGCAGAACAAAAUCAAAAUUUUGGAUAUGUGAAUAUAUUAUCAACAGUUUCACCAGAAGUAUUUGAUUGUUGGCUAUCUACUAUUUUUCCAUAUAUUAAUAAACUAAGUGAGCUUAUUAAUUUUACACAUUUUAUAAAAUGUUCAGCUAAAGUUUCAAAUACACUAAGAGCUUAUUCAAAUGGCCUUGAAAAAAUUUUAACACCCAUUGUUGAAAAAAUUAGUUUUAUUGAAAACAAUAUCAAAAAUUCGACCUAUAUUAAUUAUACUCUUAUAUCGUUUGAAGAAGAAAUGCAUUUGCAUUUUCAAGUUAUUUUGUUUGUCUACAUUUUACACACAGAAGCAUUAGGUUUAAAUUGGAAAGAAAUUGAUAAUUGGAAAAUUUCAACUAGGAUAAUAUCGGUUUUAUUUUGGUCUAUUCAAACGUCUUUCAUAGAUUUUGAAAAAAUUGCUGUAAUGACUUUAUUUUUGUAUACAUUGGAACCAUACAUGCAUAUGACUGAACUGUGGAUUCAUGCUGGUCAGCUUGUUGAUGAACAUAAUGAGUUUUUAAUUUUAAAUUAUGAGGGUGACAGUUGCACUGAAUUUAAUUUAUACUUGAGAGAUGUAAAUGAUUAUCUUGUUAAUUGUGGUAUUGUUACACCUCCAAUUUUUAAUGUUUUAUUGAAUUUUUUAAAAAGUUGUGAUUGGAAAGUUUUUGUAGCUUCAGAAUUAAGUAACAAUGUUGAGACAUUUACUGAAGUCCCCCGAGGAGAAUUGUUUCAUAACUUUAUAACAGAAUUGAAAAAUAUAUUAAAUGAUUGGGAUGAUUAUAUAACUAUAUUUAAACCAUAUAACCCAUUAAACUGGAGUCAAAUACCAAUGCUUGCAACAUAUUGUAUUGACUAUAGAUUUUCCAGUAACUGUACAUCAAAUUUAACAAAACCAUCAAGUUUUGAAAUAGUUGAUAUUCUUGUGUUCAUUGUACAAAAAGCUUUGGACAGUAUUGGUAUAGUAGUAAGGAAUAUUAUACUUAAAAAAAAUAAAUGUAUCAAUCAUUUAAAAACACUAUACAACAUUAUUUUCUUGGAAGAAGUAACAAAAACUGUCACAAUUGAUAGAACUUUGGAAUAUAAAAUUGAACAAAAUUUAUUUUUAAACAAUUGUUUUUAUUCACUAAUUAGUGAAGAUCACAGCUCAAUGUUAUCUAUAAGUGACCAUUCUUGCAACUUAUCGUUAAAUUAUAAAAAUGAAAAACAUAGUUUGUUUAGAGAAGGUAUUAUAACAAGUGACAAUUUCGCUGAUGAAUUAGAACGCCUUACCAUUACUUAUGAUGUUAAGUUUCCUCUAAGUUUGAUUUUAACUAAUGGUGUUAUAAAUAGUUACAACAAAAUAUUUCGUUUGCUUAUCACAGUGAAACAAGCAGUAGAAAUGAUUUCUCAAUUACAAACUAAAGACUUAAAAAAAUAUAAUUAUUCAUUGGAUGUUAGACGUUUGUAUUUUAUAAGAUUAUGGAUUCUAUCUACUACUUAUAAAUUGCAAACUUAUUUCUUUAGUGUUGCUUCUAAAUAUUUGGGAUCAAAAUUAUUUGAUAAUUUUGAAAAAGUUAAGAAUGGUUUAGAAGGUUUUGAAAUGGUUCUAGAAACACACAUUUCAUUGGCUAUUAAAAUGUGCAUGUUAGAAGGUUUGAUGGAAAAAUUAUCUUUUCAAUCAUUAUCAUUAUUAUGGAAUGCAUGUGAACAAUUUACUAUUUUGUGGAAGAAAAGUUCAUCAGCAGAUUACAUUGAUACUGAAUUAAUGGAAAAAAUUGAACAAGAAUAUGUGGAUUCUUGCUGGAAACUAGCUAGCAGUUUAGAUACAUAUUUAGUUGCAGAAAAUGACUCAACAAGUCUUUUGUACCAGUUUUGUCAAGAUUUUAUGUCCAGUAUGCCGACAAAAGAGUCAGCUGAUCUAGAUGGCAGUAUGGUAUACAGGUUGAGUGACUCCCAAAACAGGCAGAUGGAAAUGUGCAACCGUGAAACAUCUAAUGAUAAAAAUAGUCAUAAAUAUAUUCGAGCAAUAAAUUGUAAACUACACAACAAAAUGACACAAAUUCAUUGAUUAUAUAUAAUUCGAUGGACAGAUAUUUGAAAAAAUGAAUACUGAAGUUUAUCGAGAAAUUAUCAUGUAAUUUCAUCAAACAGUGCUUAAAAAAUAUCAAUGAUGAAUUAAAUAGAAGAUAGUAUUCAUACAAUGUAGAUAUUUAAAAAAUAUUAAAUAUCUAAAAAAUCAUGACCAUAAUAAAGAAUAGAGU